rnacentral:rRNA from 1 species
CUACGGGAGGCUGCAGUGAGGAAUAUUGCACAAUGGGGGGAACCCUGAUGCAGCAACGCCGCGUGGAGGAUGACGCAUUUCGGUGUGUAAACUCCUUUUAUAUGUCAAGAGAAUGACGGUAGCAUAUGAAUAAGCACCGGCUAACUCCGUGCCAGCAGCCGCGGUAAUACGGAGGGUGCAAGCGUUACUCGGAAUCACUGGGCGUAAAGGACGCGUAGGCGGGUUGGAAAGUCAGGUGUGAAAUCCUACAGCUUAACUAUAGAACUGCACUUGAAACUUCUAAUCUAGAGUAUGGGAGGGGGAGAUGGAAUUAGUGGUGUAGGGGUAAAAUCCGUAGAUAUCACUAGGAAUACCUAAAGCGAAGGCGAUCUCCUGGAACAUUACUGACGCUAAGGCGUGAAAGCGUGGGGAGCAAACAGGAUUAGAUACCCUCGUAGUC